UCCCCCCCAUAGCGGCGGACUGGUGAGUAACGCGUGGGUGACCUGCCCUGGGGUUGGGGACAGCCGCUGGAAACAGCGGGUAAUACCGAAUACGUUUGCCAUGCUGCGGCAAGGCAAAGAAAGGGGCUUCGGCCCCGCCCUGGAUGGGCCCGCGUCCCAUUAGCUGGUUUGGGGGUGUAACGGACCACCAAGGCGAAGAUGGGUAGCCGGCCUGAGAGGGCGAACGGCACACUGGGACUGAGAUACGGCCCAGACUCCUACGGGAGGCAGCAGCUAAGAAUAUUCCGCAAUGGGCGAAAGCCUGACGGAGCGACGCCGCGUGGAUGACGAAGGCCGAAAGGUUGUAAAAUCCUUUUGCGGGCGAAGAAGAAGCCUUGGAGGGAAUGCCAGGGCGGUGACGCCGGCCCGCGAAUAAGCCCCGGCUAAUUACGUGC
rnacentral:rRNA from 1 species